rnacentral:rRNA from 1 species
UACAGAGGGUGCGAGCGUUAAUCGGAAUUACUGGGCGUAAAGCGUGCGUAGACGGUAGCGUAAGUCAGAUGUGAAAGCCCCGGGCUCAACCUGGGAAUUGCAUUUGAGACUGCUCUGCUCGGGUGCGGAAGAGGGAAGCGGAAUUUCCGGUGUAGCGGUGAAAUGCGUAGAUAUCGGAAGGAACACCAGUGGCGAAAGCGGCUUCCUGGUCCGACACCGACGUUCAGGCACGAAAGCGUGGGGAGCAAACCGG